AUUAUAAAAAUAAUCCACGAUAGGUGAAAUCCGCGAAGUAGCCAACUUUAUUUUUUACAAUUAUUAUAGAUGUUUUAAGGCUGUAAAACCCAUCACUAGACACUUAUUCACUUUUCUCAGACAGGCAUGAACAUUUUGUCAUGAUAUGAGUGAACAGUUGUUGUUUAAGGUGCAGUUCAUGGUGAAGCCACCGGAGGGUGGUGUGGAGAUAUAAUAAAAAAGUGAUGGCUAAAACCUAAGACGGUGUCAUGUCUGCUCCCUGAACUAAUAUCGUAACAUGGUGUCAGAAGUGAACUGAUAAGGCUAUACAAGAGUGUCGCACACAUGGAAGGACUUGAUUUGCUGCAGGGGAACCUCUCGGAAAAUUGGAGACGGUUUCGGCAACGGUUCGAGCUGUAUCUCGCGGCUACAGGAGGUGCUAGCAAGCCACCCAAGAUCCUCCUAAGCCCACUGUGACCCUGCAGCCAUCCAGGACUCAGAUAUACAGCGGUGAGACAGUCACUGUCAGAUGUGAGAUUCAGGGAGGUGAAAGAGCUCAGUGGACGUAUGAAUGGAGACGAGGCCAGAAAAACAUACAUGAAACAUCCAGUGAAUACAGAAUCAGCAGACUUACUGAGUCUCAUGGUGGAGGAUACAGCUGUCGGGCCACAAGAAGCUCUUCCUGGACAGAGUGGAGUGACAGCACCACAUUGAGAGUAACAGUUCCCAGUAAGCCCACUGUGACCCUGCAGCCACCCUGGCCUCAGAUAUACAGCGG